UUACGAAUCCCACCUCUUUUCUUUUCUUCCAAGGGUUGAGAGAUGUCUACUCUAGUGCUUUUAAAGAAUGAACUCUCCAUUGGCUGUGGAUUGUAGGGAGACAGAGUGGUUGGGCACUGUGGCUCCAGUUCUCCACUUGAAGAUCAGAAGGUCACCUAACACACAGCCCUAUGAACUACCGCUGUCAACGACUGUGUUGUGACCUAGGCCCAUCAAGCGGUGGCAUGGUGAUUGUCCAUCCUGCUUGACUUGAGCCUACUAAUUGCCAUGUCCCUGGAUGCCCUGUGACAGCCCCUCUUGCAUUCUGGCUCUGGAUAGACUGUCAAGGGAACUCUAAUGAUAAUUAGGCCCUUCACAUGUCCUCAGCAUUCUCUGAUGGGUUUGUGUGUCAUCUCUUUCGCUCUCCUCUGGGGUGCUGAUUCUCAGAUUGAGAGCCAUGAAUCUCACUUUUUCCUCUUUGUUCCAUCUUGUCCCCUCGUCUGUAUGCCUGAGAAAUUGACCUACUCCUUGUGAGAUGCCCUCCCAUGUGCAGUUUCUGGCUGGGCCCCACCCCGUAUUCUCCACUCUAGUGAGUCUACUGAAAUUCAGGAGGAAGAUAAGGGGAGGAAGCUGCCUGGGGACAAUUCUGGAGCUAUACUGAGAUCCGGAGUUGAACGUACAAAGCGUGUGAUGGCAGAGUGCAAAUAUGUGCUAGCAAGAACCCACCGUGCUACUUUCCUGAAUUCCGCAAAGAAGUUAUUCUGUCUGUAUAAUUUUAUUAGGCUGAGACUUUUUCCAAUGGUUUGUUUUUCCGUUUGCUCACAGAACAUAGAAAAGAGCCAGGGAGGGAAGCCAACACAUUUGCACUAUUUACCUACUCCCUGACUUUGGAGCUCAGCAAAUCUGCUGCGCAUCACUUUGUUUCGCUGACUUUUAUAAAUCAAGACAAUAAACUGUAAGCAUAUCAGCUCACUUUGAGGGACCUGAUAUCUGAUUGUUGCUUUGAUAAGUAUCUGUGCAAAUAUUUAUAUGAUUCUGAUAGUCUUGAGCUGCAUUGUUACAACAUGCAAAGCUGUCAGCUUUCCAGGACUUCUUGUGGUAUAGCUUCUCUGGGGUGAGGAUUAUUUUCAAUCUGGCCUUUCCUCCCUGCAACCCUGUUAGUCUGAGAUUUCACGUAAUGCAGCGCCAGUUGUGUAGAAAGAAACACAACAUUACCUCAUUUCAUCAUUCAAAUAGUAAAAUAACUAGAGGAGGCCGCUCUGGAAUGCAGGGAGACUGGUAUAAUUUCUCACGAUUGUGUCUUCCUGCUCCCCCUGCUUAAACUUUCGUGUGAUAAAAAUUAAUUAUUGAGUUAAAAUUUCAUGAUGAACACAUUGUUCACUGUAUUUAAGGAAGCAGUGUAGUAUUCUGAAAGGCCUUUAUCUCUUGCCACCCAGGUGAGCACCUGAAAGAGAACUUUUAAGCCAUUUAGAAAUGACUAAUCACAUUACAAAAGUACCCAUUUCCCUGGAGGAUCCAUGGCUUCCCGGGACACUUACCACAUCUAUUUACAGAUCAUUAUGGAUUAGAGCCACUAGACUGUGAGCUCCUUGAGGGCAAGGAACGAGGCUAAUUUAAUUUUGUUCUCCCUACCAUUAACGGCACACAUUUGGAAUGAAUGAAUGAAAUUGGCUGCCCUUGAAUAUCAAGUGGAAUGAAGGUAGCAUUUCCAGAAGGAUGAUGCAAAUAAUGAGUGCAAAACUUGAUAUUUACUGACACCUUUCCAGGAAUAGGUCUUGUUUUGGGAGCUGUGCUGCAAUGAUCUUGUUCAGGAGGGGCUUAUGUCAUAGUUGGAAACUUCUGUUGCAUAUUUAGUCAACUGAGAUUGGGCCAAGCAGUGGAGGUCUCCCCGAUGUUUCAGAUGAAUUCGUGGUGCUCUGGAAGUGCUUGUGAGCCCACACGGCUAGGUUACCAAGUUCCAGCAGCUCCUGAGCUUCUGCUUAGGGCUGAGUGCUUCUCAAGCACUAUUUUAAUCAGUGCUGGGUAGUUUCUGUAAAUAUCUUCACUGUAGACAUCUUUGCCACAAGCGUUUUCACCAUACCAUGUGACCAUAUCUAAUUGGUCAUAAGGCAGUUUUGUCGUAAAAAAGAAAAUAACUGGUUGACAGUUGGUUUCAUUUCUUCAUUGAUGAAGUCAUCCCAUUUUUAUAUUAUCUUAGCCCUCAUAGUGGUCUGUAGGGCGGCACAGAGUUCUGAACCCACAUUUCCCAUAGAGCUUUGGAACGUCUCUCAGAGAGCGUAUGACAACAUCCUAAGAACAGACAACCCCAUGGAAGGCUUUCACAGCGCAGUACAAAGCCCAGUGACAAAUAUGCAUCUUAGUAUUUGGAAACUGAUUCCUCUCUUAAGGAAGGAAGAAAUUUUAGAGAGAGAAGAAAAGUGUGACGCCGAAUGAAAAGAUGAAUCAGCAAGCAAAAAUGUAUAUACUACAAAUGGAAGACUUUAAAGACAAGUGCGUAGGUACAGUCCCCCAAAUAAAAUAUACACUAUACAUUUUUAAUGUAUUCAAAUAUUUUGUAUUUCACAAUAAAGUCUUUUUAAUUUUGUUA